rnacentral:rRNA from 1 species
CCUACGGGAGGCAGCAGUGAGGAAUAUUGGUCAAUGGACGAGAGUCUGAACCAGCCAAGUAGCGUGAAGGAUGACUGCCCUAUGGGUUGUAAACUUCUUUUAUAUGGGAAUAAAAUGUGCCACGUGUGGGAUUUUGUAUGUACCAUAUGAAUAAGGAUCGGCUAACUCCGUGCCAGCAGCCGCGGUAAUACGGAGGAUCCGAGCGUUAUCCGGAUUUAUUGGGUUUAAAGGGAGCGUAGGUGGUUUGUUAAGUCAGUUGUGAAAGUUUGCGGCUCAACCGUAAAAUUGCAUUUGAAACUGGUAGUCUUGAGUACAGUAGAGGUGGGCGGAAUUCGUGGUGUAGCGGUGAAAUGCUUAGAGAUCACGAAGAACUCCGAUUGCGAAGGCAGCUCACUGGACUGCAACUGACACUGAGGCUCGAAAGUGUGGGUAUCAAACAGGAUUAGAUACCCGAGUAGUC